UUCAAUUGGACCCUCAUCAUCACUGCAUAUCUGUAAUAAAAUCUAUACACGACAAAACCCUCAAAAUAUGUAAAAAGAAAUGUGACUACUACUACUGCCGACUACUCUGUCUUCUCUUCUCCCCCUCUGCCCCCUGCUCUGCUCUCUUUCUGCUUCUUGACCGCAUCAAAGCCAAGCCCCCCUUGUAGUCUCUACACUAUUACACAUGAUUUAUUUUUAUUUCUAGCCCCCUGUGUUGAAUUACUGUAUAGCCCUCCUGGGGUACCCUUUCCAAUGGUGUUUCUGAUUCUUCUUGCUGGCAACCUAAAUAAAGGUGAACCACAUUCAGUCUUGCCAACUUAAGACCAUCAGUCUAAAGACUAUUUACCCUUGGAGGACUGCAUUUAUAGAGGCG
rnacentral:lncRNA from 1 species